rnacentral:tRNA from 1 species
UAGACGUUAGUAAAAUGCUUACAGGACCUUGUCAAGGCCCAAUUACUAGUUUGAACCUUGUACGUCUAU